ACACUCAUGUUUCACCUCAGAUCGUAUAAAUCUUUCGCCUCUUACUAAAGAUUCUCGUGGGGAGGAACAUAAAGUGUAUAAGCUAAUUUUCUGAUGCCCUGCUAUUUUGGCU
ensembl:snRNA U5 U5 spliceosomal RNA